rnacentral:rRNA from 1 species
GACAGAGGGGGCAAGCGUUGCUCGGAAUCACUGGGCGUAAAGGGCGCGCAGGUGGUUCUGUAUGUCUACCGUGAAAGCGUACGGCUCAACCGUAUUUUGUCGGUAGAAACUGCAGGACUUGAGGCUGGGAGGGGCUGGUGGAAUUCCCUGUGUAGCGGUGAAAUGCGUAGAGAUGGGGGAGAACACUCGUGGCGAAGGCGGCCAGCUAGACCAGUUCUGACACUGAGGCGCGACAGCGUGGGGAGCAAACAGG